UUUACUGUGUUUGAAUUUUAUCAUGAUGCUAAUUGCUAACUAAAUGAAUUAAGCUAGAUAAGAAUCGUUUCAUUGUGCUUUCAAUGGUUGUUUCAACUCAGGUGUCUUGUUUGUAUAUGCUAGAUCCAUAUUCCUUACUAGUUUUUUUUAACCUUAUAUCUCCCUUUUUGUUUGUUCACUGAGAUUCCUUCCAUUUGACAAUUUGACCUCUUGAUUAUCAAAGAAGGGGCCAAGGAGCUCAUUGUUUCUGAUUUAUCAUAGGGCACUAGUAAGGCAACUCAAUGCAAUGUGCUUAAGGAUGAAAAUGGUUCUUUUCCUGAUGCAAUUCAAAAACUGAUGAACAACAUUUACUUCACAGGAAUGGAGUGUUGAAUUUCUUUUAUUUUUAGGAUUGUUGCCCAUGCUAUCAGUAUAAAGCUUUGUAAGUAUUUGUGUUGAAGUGUGUGCUAUUAUACUGAAAAAUGGUAUAGAUAUUUUUUCUCUUUCUUUCUUUUUCUUA